rnacentral:rRNA from 1 species
UACAGAGGGGGCAAGCGUUGUUCGGAAUUACUGGGCGUAAAGGGCGCGUAGGCGGCCUUCUAAGUCGAACGUGAAAUCCCUGGGCUCAACCCAGGAACUGCGUCCGAUACUGGUUGGCUUGAAUCCGGGAGAGGGAUGCGGAAUUCCAGGUGUAGCGGUGAAAUGCGUAGAGAUCUGGAGGAACACCGAUGGCGAAGGCAGCUCCCUGGGCUGACACUGACGCUCAUGCACGAAAGCGUGGGGAGCAAACAGG